rnacentral:lncRNA from 1 species
GUCUCUGGUUGUAUUUCUAAGUCCUUGAUCCAUUUUGAGAUGAGUUUUAUGCAUGGUGAGAGAUAAGGGUUUAAUUUCAUUUUGUUGCAUGUGGAUUUCCAGUUUUCCCAGUAGAAUUUGUUGAAGAGGCUAUCUUUUCUCCAAUGCAUGUUUUUGGCACCUUUGUCUAAUGUAAGAUAAUUGUAAUUUUGUGGAUUAGUCUCUAUGUCCUCUAUUCUGUACUAUUGGUCUACCAGUCUGCUUUGGUGCCGAUACCAUGCUAUUUUUGUUACUGUUGCUCUGUAGUAUAGUUUAAGCUCUUGUAUAGUGAUGCCACAUGCUUCACUCUUCCUGAUAAAGAUUGCUUUAGCUAUUCUGGGUCUCUUAUUUUUCCAGAUGAAUUUCAUGAUUGCUUUUUCUAUUUUUAUGAGGAAUGUCAUAUUGGAAUUUUGAUCAGCAUUGCAUUAAAUAUGUUUAGUGCUUUUGGAAGUAUGGUCAUUUUGAUACUAUCACUUCUGCCUAUCCAAGAGCAAGGUAGCUCUUUCCAUCUUCUAAGGUCUUCUUUAAUUUCUCUCUUUAGGGUUCUGUAAUUUUCAUUAUAUAGAACAUUCACCUCUUUUGUUAAGUUGAUUCCCAAGUAUUUUUUUUUAAUUAUUAUUUUUUAGUUGUUGAUGGACACAAUACCUUUAUUUAUUUAUUUUUAUGUGGUGCUGAGGAUCGAACCCAGUUCCUCACACAUGCUGGACAAGUGCGCUACCACUGAUCCACAACCCCAGCCCCCCAAGUAUUUUAUUUUAUUUUUUUGAGGCUAUUGAAAAUGUAGUAGUUUUCCUCAGUUUCUGUUUUCUUGGCUGAUAUACCACUUGUAAUAAAGACAAUGGCUAUAAGAAAGCAAUGGAGGAAUUCUCACUUCAAAUGAAUCCCAUCAUAAACUCACAGAUUGAUGCCUACUCCUCAGGCUUCUAUCUAGAAAUCUUAGUGUGUGCUUAACCAUCAGAAUUACAGUAAAAGGCAGGUUUUCCUGGCCUUCUUUCAGAUGUGGGGCCAAUGAGUAAUUAAACCUAAGGUCUCAAGACAGUUUCUAAUGUGUACUAAGAAGCCACCAUGUGACCUCUGCUCCGUGGAGUGGUAAUUGGCAGUUGGUCUUGGAUUUUCAUCACAGGAGAAAAAGUACAAUCUCAUUGGUAAAGGGAUUUUUUUUUUCUGCUUCUAGCUUUUUAUAGAAAUACCAUAGGCAAAAAUAUAAAGUAACAUAUAUUUGCAGGGUGAGGGAGGAUUGAUUGUCUUGUUUUUUCUUUAUUCCUUUUACUCUAAAGUAGAAUAAAAUGUUCAUUUUAGAGAGUAUCCAAGAUUUAUUUUAAAAAGGAUA